UACACAUGCAAGUCGAGCGGUAACAGGAGAAGCUUGCUUCUCGCUGACGAGCGGCGGACGGGUGAGUAAUACUUAGGAAUCUACCUAGUAGUGGGGGAUAGCACGGGGAAACUCGUAUUAAUACCGCAUACGACCUACGGGAGAAAGGGGGCAGUUUACUGCUCUCGCUAUUAGAUGAGCCUAAGUCGGAUUAGCUAGAUGGUGGGGUAAAGGCCUACCAUGGCGACGAUCUGUAGCUGGUCUGAGAGGAUGAUCAGCCACACCGGGACUGAGACACGGCCCGGACUCCUACGGGAGGCAGCAGUGGGGAAUAUUGGACAAUGGGGGAAACCCUGAUCCAGCCAUGCCGCGUGUGUGAAGAAGGCCUUUUGGUUGUAAAGCACUUUAAGCAGUGAAGAAGACUCCAUGGUUAAUACCCAUGGACGAUGACAUUAGCUGCAGAAUAAGCACCGGCUAACUCUGUGCCAGCAGCCGCGGUAAUACAGAGGGUGCAAGCGUUAAUCGGAAUUACUGGGCGUAAAGGGAGCGUAGGUGGCUCUAUAAGUCAGAUGUGAAAUCCCCGGGCUUAACCUGGGAACUGCAUCUGAAACUGUAGAGCUAGAGUAUGUGAGAGGAAGGUAGAAUUCCAGGUGUAGCGGUGAAAUGCGUAGAGAUCUGGAGGAAUACCGAUGGCGAAGGCAGCCUUCUGGCAUAAUACUGACACUGAGGCUCGAAAGCGUGGGUAGCAAACAGGAUUAGAUACCCUGGUAGUCCACGCCGUAAACGAUGUCUACUAGUCGUUGGGUCCCUUGAGGACUUAGUGACGCAGCUAACGCAAUAAGUAGACCGCCUGGGGAGUACGGCCGCAAGGUUAAAACUCAAAUGAAUUGACGGGGGCCCGCACAAGCGGUGGAGCAUGUGGUUUAAUUCGAUGC
rnacentral:rRNA from 1 species